rnacentral:rRNA from 1 species
UAGGGAAUCUUCCACAAUGGGCGAAAGCCUGAUGGAGCAACGCCGCGUGUGUGAUGAAGGCUUUAGGGUCGUAAAGCACUGUUGUAUGGGAAGAAAUGCUAGAAUAGGGAAUGAUUCUAGUUCGACGGUACCAUACCAGAAAGGGACGGCUAAAUACGUGCCAGCAGCCGCGGUAAUACGUAUGUCCCGAGCGUUAUCCGGAUUUAUUGGGCGUAAAGCGAGCGCAGACGGUUGAUUAAGUCUGAUGUGAAAGCCCGGAGCUCAACUCCGGAAUGGCAUUGGAAACUGGUUAACUUGAGUGUUGUAGAGGUAAGUGGAACUCCAUGUGUAGCGGUGGAAUGCGUAGAUAUAUGGAAGAACACCAGUGGCGAAGGCGGCUUACUGGACAACAACUGACGUUGAGGCUCGAAAGUGUGGGUAGCAAACAGGAUUAGAUACCCUGGUAGUCCACACCGUNNCGAUGAAUACUAGGUGUUAGGAGGNUUCCGCCUCUUAGUGNCGAAGCUAACGCAUUAAGUAUUCCGCCUGGGGAGUACNACCGCAAGGNUG